UUAGGGUUAACUAGAAACAAU
rnacentral:piRNA from 1 species